UCCCUGGAGGACUAGUGGUUAGGCCAUGGCACUCUCACCGAUGUGGCCCGUGGUCGAUUCCCGGCCAGGGAA